rnacentral:rRNA from 1 species
AACGAACGCUGGCGGCAUGCCUAACACAUGCAAGUCGAACGAGACCUUCGGGUCUAGUGGCGCACGGGUGCGUAACGCGUGGGAACCUGCCCUUAGGUUCGGAAUAACUCCCCGAAAGGGGUGCUAAUACCGGAUAAUGUCUUCGGACCAAAGAUUUAUCGCCUUUGGAUGGGCCCGCGUUGGAUUAGCUAGUUGGUAGGGUAAAAGCCUACCAAGGCGACGAUCCAUAGCUGGUCUGAGAGGAUGAUCAGCCACACUGGGACUGAGACACGGCCCAGACGACGAAGGGAGGCAGGAGUAGGGAAACGUCAGCAAUGGGCGAAGGAGUGACGGAGCAAAGCCGAGUGAGUGAUGAAGGUCUACGGCUCGUCAAACGAUGGUAGUAGGGAAGAACAAAUGUGUAAGUAACUGUGCACGUCGUGACGGUAACGAAGCAGAAAGUCACGGCUAACGACGU